UACGGGGGGGGCAAGCGUUGUUCGGAAUUACUGGGCGUAAAGGGCGCGUAGGCGGCCUUCUAAGUCGGACGUGAAAUCCCUCGGCUUAACCGAGGAACUGCGUCUGAUACUGAAAGGCUUGAAUCCGGGAGAGGGAUGUGGAAUUCCAGGUGUAACGGUGAAAUGCGUAGAUAUCUGGAGGAACACCGGUGGCGAAGGCGGCAUCCUGGACCGGUAUUGACGCUGAGGCGCGAAAGCUAGGGGAGCAAACGGG
rnacentral:rRNA from 1 species